UGGUUCAGUGGUAGAGUUCUUGUCCACCACACAGGAAACCUGGGUUCAAUUCCCAG
rnacentral:tRNA from 1 species